GCCGCCUUAGCUCAUCAGGUAGAGCAGCAGCCUUGUAAACUGCAGGUGGUCGGUUCGAGUCCGACAGGCGGCU
rnacentral:tRNA from 1 species